AAAGACACAGUAUCAACAUGGAAGAUUUAUAACAUCACAUGGGGAUAUGAUGAGGCCUGCUUGGAAGUGUCAAAUGCAUGGGAACUGUAAAGGCAAUGCACUAAAACAGAGAGCGAGAGAGAGCAGUUAAUAAAGUAUAUCUCAUUCACCCAGCCACACAUUCAAACACCCUCACCACUGGUACUUGUUUACCUUUGCUUAGCCUUCCUACAGCAGAAAAUCGAGCGGCGCACAGCAAGAGGCCAGAAUGUCUGGCUCAACCACAAUUCCAGCAGACCGGUCUAGCUGAUGGCUCAAGUGAAACCGUUCUGCACAUCUAAUUAGGAAAUCUACAGGACGUUUAGCUGCAGCUUGCCAUGCAUCUGCAAACUGCUUUGCAGAUCCACCGCCAUUCCAGCUCAUCCUUUUCAUUCUUUGUCUGAUUUAAUCAGUGUCACAUGUUUUGUUGCUGAUGUCUGGUCCAUGUAGGCCAAGGGAAGUGCUCAUGGAUGAUGCUGGAAUGUUUGAGAUCCAUGUAAAGUAUUUUGGUAAUGCAUGAACUUGGGGUUCAGAGUCUUGCUUAAAGCCAGUAAAACACAUGGACAGAAGAAGUUGGGGAUCAAACCAUCAGCUCCAGUCAGAGUCGACUCUGACCUUUUUAUUGGGAGUCCCGGAUGUUUUCCAAAUUCUAUAGACUUGAAUUUUGAAAAGUUAUAAUUCAAGUUAAAUAAACGUAAAUUUGCUAAAAAAAAAAAAAAAAGAAAAGAAAAUUGUGUGACUCAUAAUUGCAAUACACUGAAAAAAAGGGACUGGCCAUCUCUUGGAUUUAUGUGAAGUAAGUCAAUAAGAUAGCAACGUUAAAUCUCGUGAAACCACGCGUGAUUUCAUCUCGCGGGCUUUGGAUCGUGGUUCAAAAAAGGCAUCCAUCUCAGUCAAGUCGAGCAGCCAACUCUACGUUUUUGAGACCACAUCUAUUCUGCAUUUCACCAGGAGUCAGCUGAUGGAUUGUGGGUUCAAGGUGUUAUGAUAAAAUGCAGCAUUCCAGUGCAUCCCAACCAUGCCUUUACAGUCAAGGUUUCUGACGGAGCUGAGUUUCUCUCUGACAGUCUGCUGAAAGUGUUUGCAAAGUGAUCGGGGGAACAGUGCACAAAGCUAAAGGAUGUAGCUGCCAUGAUGACAGAUGACAUUAAUGCUCAAAGGGGGUCUCAUCAAAGUGCUCCGCAUCUGUGUGAAAGACAAUUGCAACAUCUUGGUGCAGGAGUUCAUGGACUUGACUGAGGCCACUGCACAGAUUGAGAAAACCACAAUGAACAUCUGUCUCCAGAGGAUGCACCAGGCAAUGACUUUUCUGAUGUUGGCAUCAUCAUCGAGGGUAUAGUAGUUCUUCAAGAUCUGGAUAACGUGACCUUUGCAGUAGCCAUGCUGUUUGGAC
ensembl:lncRNA